rnacentral:tRNA from 1 species
GUUCAGCCAACUGAAUAGCCUAGUGGACAUGGCAUCUGCCCGGUAAGCGGAACAUUGUGGGUUCGUUUCCUAUCCCUGGACA